GAUCCCUCCUCCUCCAUCUGCACCGCAAAACUCUCUCUUUUAUUUAUUUUAUUUUCUCCUCUCGCUCAACUGGUCCGCCUCCAUCGCCGCCGCCUGCUGAUCUCUCCCUAGGGUUAGGGUUUGCGGCCGGAGCGGAGACCCGAUUGGAUUGGAUUGGAUUGAAGCGGCCGGCGCAGCGUGGUGGAAUCGAAUCGAAAAGAUUCGAUGGACGCGCAGCGUGCUCUGCUGGACGCGCUGAUGGGGUCGUCGCGGGACCUGACGGAGGAGGAGAAGAAGGAGCACCGUGAGGUGGCGUGGGACGACCCCGACGUGUGCGCCCCCUACAUGGCCCGCUUCUGCCCCCACGACCUCUUCAUCAACACCAAGAGCAACCUCGGAGUAUGCCCAAAGAUCCACGACCCGGCCCUAAAGCAAAGCUUCGAGUCCUCCCCCCGCUACGCCGCCGCCCUCCCCAAAUUUGAGGCCGACCUCGCCCACCGCUGCGAGAGGCUGGUCCAGGACCUGGAUAAGAAGAUCAGGCGCGGCCGCGACAGGCUGGCUCAGGACGUCGUCGAGCUGUCGCCCCCUGCUGCCCACGCCGAAAAGGUCGAGCAGCUCUCCAUCCUCGAAGAGAAGAUCAAGAAGCUGCUCGAGCAGAUUGAGCAGCUCGGCGACACCGGCAAGAUCGACGAGGCCACCGCCCUCAUGAGGAAGGUGGACAUUCUCAACCUCGAGAAGUCGGCUCUCACCCACCAGAUUGAGACCAAGCUCUCCAUGGUCCCGCAAGAGAAGAAGAUGGAGCUCUGCGAGCAGUGCGGCUCCUUUCUCGUCACCAACGACGUCCUUGAGAGGACGCAGUCCCAUGUCACUGGCAAGCAGCACAUUGGUUAUGGUCUGGUCAGGGAAUUCCUCGCAGAAUACAAGGCUGCGAAAGAAGCGGAGAAGCUUGCAAGGGAGAAGGAAGCAGAGGAGCGUCAGAACCGGGAGAGAGGAUACCAUAACAGAGGCCACCGCGACGACUAUAGGGAGAGAUCCAGGGAGCACGACCGUGACCGCUACUAUGAGCGGAGCCGUGACAGAGAGAGGCCCUAUGAGCAGGGAGGUAGAGGGUCGGACUAUAGAGGCGGUUCCUAUAACAGCCGGAGGGAUUCUGAAAGGGCGAGGCCCAGAGACAGGAACGGUGGUGAUUUUUCAAGAAGAGGAGACCCGGGGAGGAUGAGGAGCAGGUCCCGGUCUCCGGGCAGGCAUGGUUAUUAAUCAUUUCAAGUUAUAUGAGACUCGUGAGGUAGACCAUUAUGCUCCUUUGUUUAUUCAUUCAGUCGCAAUGUCUGGGUGUUGUCAUGAUUAAAUUUAAACCUUACUCUGCUCUAGCAGCUCUUUGUUGAAACCAUACCUAUGGUCUUCCUUUUAUUAUAGAGAGGAUAAAAAACAGAGGAAGGUACCAUCUGUUCUUGGCAAUAUUUCUGUGUUUAUUACAUCUCACGUGCACUCUCAGAUUGUGUUUUCCAGUAUAGGAACUGAAAAAAAUGUUGUUUGAUAUGAUAGAGCUGAAAGCCGUAUCAUCCUAGGCAGGUAUUCCGUAACCUCUGUCUUACAUGUUAAAAUGAUUGAUUGAUGACAUACAAGGUUUGGUUAGGACCUGGAAGAAACAGUAGACGUCUUAUACAUGUUAAAUUGAUUGAUGAUAUAUACAAGGUUGGGUCGGACCGGACCUGGAAGAAACAGUAGGAAGGUAACCCGUAAUCUCCGUCUUAUACAUGUUAAAAUGAUUGAUGGUAUAUAUACAAGGUUGGGUCGGACCGGACCUGGAAGAAACGGUAGGAAGGUAACCCGUAACCUCUAUCUUGCAUGUUGAAUAGAUUGGGUAGGACAUUGGAGAUACAGCUAACAUUACAGGAUAUUUGGUUUCUGAAUGCCCAGUCUUGUACCACAUUUAAUUUGCAGUGCCAGUACAUAUUUUGUGUGUACUGCGCCAGACAUUUCUUGAUAUAGAUUUUAAGAAAUGACGUUGACUAGUAUCUGCAUUAGUAGGUGUAUCAUUCAAUCGUUAAACACGAGGAUGGUAUUUCUUUCAGUCUAGGAACUGGAAAAUUGUUGUGCGAUAGAGCUGAAAGUCUUGAGAUGAUGAUAGCACUAUCAUCCUAGGCAGCAGGUAUUCCGUAACCUCUGUCUGUCUGUCUUACAUGUUAAAAUGAUGUACGCUGGACCUGGAAGAUACAGUAGGCAGGUAACCCGUAAUCUCUGUCUUGCAUGCUAAAUUGAUGACGUAUAGAAGGUUGGGUGGAAUGUGGAAAAUUCAGGUAACAUUAUAGGAGAGCGGUUUCUGAAUGCCUAGUCUUGUACAAGAUUUAAUUUGCACUGCCUGUACAGAUUUUGUGUAGUGCGCCAGGCAUUUCUUCUUGACAGAUUUUAAGAAAUUACAUUGACUAGUAUCUGCAGUAGGUUUGUCAACACGAGGAUUGUUAGGUGUCUAUCGCACAAGGUUGGGCAGGACCUGGAAGAAACGUAACCUCUGUCUUGCAUGUUAAACUGAUGAUAUAUGCAAGGUUCAUUUAGGACAUGUGAAAUUCAGGUUAACAUUAUAGGAUAUGGGUUUCUGAACGCCCAGUCUUGUACACCACCAUUUAAUUUGCACUGCCAGUAGAGAUUUUGUGUGUAGUGCGCCAGGCAUUUCUUGUCGACAGAUUUUAAGAAAUGACAUUGACCAGUACCUGCAGUAGGUGUAUGGUUCAAUCGAUAAAACACGAGGAUGGUCGACAUUGGGAUUUCUUUCAGUCUAGGAACUGAAAAAUUGUUGUAUGAUAGAGGUGAAAGUCUUGAGAUGAUACUGAUAGCAAUAUCCACUAUCAUCCUAGGCAGUGCAGUGCAGGUAACCCGUAACCUCUGUCUGUCUUGCAUGUUUAAUUGAAAUUGACAAGAUACAUACAUGGCUGGCUGGGUAGGGAACCUGGAAGAAUUAGCCGCAGGUGAUUUUUUUCGUUUUGGGCAGAAGAAGAGGUAACAAUAAUAUAGGGGGCAUCCGUUUUUGGAUGCCCAGCCAAUUUGCAUGGCCAAUACAAUGCACAUCUUGUGUGUUUCUUCUUGUUGUUUAUCAAGAGACGAGCAUGGUCUUAUCUUGUUUUGUGAUAUAUGAUGGUCAUUAGUAUUCAUCAUCAAUCAAUCUUUACAUACAGGAUUGGAUCGUCAACUUGGGUACAUGAACCAGAAGAAUUCGAGCGAGUGUUGUUGACAGAGAUGAAUGCUAGAUUUCAAUCAAUUACAGAAUCACCCUUUUGGUUCAUCACUUGUUGAAUUUGAGCAUGUAAAAAUCAUCACUUGUUUGAGACUCGAAACGUUUUGGAGUAUGUUCAAGUUGUAUUUUCUCGCAAAUGCAG
rnacentral:rRNA from 1 species